AUGAACGCUGGCGGCGUGCCUAAUACAUGCAAGUCGAGCGAACGGACGAGAAGCUUGCUUCUCUGAUGUUAGCGGCGGACGGGUGAGUAACACGUGGAUAACCUACCUAUAAGACUGAGAUAACUUCGGGAAACCGGAGCUAAUACCGGAUAAUAUUUUGAACCGCAUGGUUCAAAAGUGAAAGACGGUCUUGCUGUCACUUAUAGAUGGAUCCGCGCUGCAUUAGCUAGUUGGUAAGGUAACGGCUUACCAAGGCAACGAUGCAUAGCCGACCUGAGAGGGUGAUCGGCCACACUGGAACUGAGACACGGUCCAGACUCCUACGGGAGGCAGCAGUAGGGAAUCUUCCGCAAUGGGCGAAAGCCUGACGGAGCAACGCCGCGUGAGUGAUGAAGGUCUUCGGAUCGUAAAACUCUGUUAUUAGGGAAGAACAUAUGUGUAAGUAACUGUGCACAUCUUGACGGUACCUAAUCAGAAAGCCACGGCUAACUACGUG
rnacentral:rRNA from 1 species